CAAUCAGGAAGUGAGAAGGAGGGUGUUUAAAAUAGUCAGAGCUGAGCUGAGAAAACUUGUAUCAUGGAGAUAGCAUGCAGAGCAACCUUAACGAUUAAGCUCUUUUGAAUAUAUCUACGGUAUAAGGAACAUGGAUCUAUGCUGUAGAUCUAUGCUUUAGAUCUAUGCUGUAGUGACAAAGCGCAGAGUUCAUGAAGAGUAGGUAGGGGGAUAACAUCUGAUCCGACCAUGUCAGACAAUCUCCUGGAAGAGAUCUUUAUAAAACGCUCCCAGCAGAAGAAGAAGACCUCCCCUUUAAACUUCAAAGAGAGGCUGUUCAUCCUGACACAGGACAAGAUCGCCUACUACGACUAUGAUCUGGACAAAGGGAAAAAGAAGGGGUUGAAAGGCACCGUGGGCAUCGAUAAGAUCAAGUGUGUGGGGACAGUACAGCCGGAGCCCAGUGCCCCCGCAGAGCGCCAGUACCCGUUCCAGAUAAUCUACGAUGAGGGCCCACUUUACAUAUUCGCCAAGAGCGACGAGGUCCGAAAGCAGUGGCUCCACAAGCUGAAGCAUGUGGUGCGUUUCAACAAGGACCUGAUGCAGAAGUACCACCCAUGCUUCUGGAUGGACGGCAUGUGGCAGUGCUGCCAGCAGGAAGUCAAACAAGCCAUGGGCUGCAGGGUGCUGGAGAACAAGAAUGUAGGGGUUUCAAAGGGGUCUCGGAGGCAAUCCAGAAAACCCCUUCCACCUACUCCAGAAGAGGAGAAACCUUUGAGGCCUUUACCUCCGCAGCCUCCCGAGGAGCCUGCGCUCACCACAGGCAUGACGGUGGUUGCUGAGUAUGAGUACACACCCUCCACGCCCCAGGAUCUGGAGCUGAGGAAGGAUGAGGAGUACAUCAUUCUGGAGAUGUCUGACUCCAACUGGUGGAGAGCCAGGGACAAAUACGGCAAGGAGGGAUACAUUCCCAGUAAUUACGUUGUGGAGGCUGGAAAUGAACUGGAAAAGUUUGACUGGUACUGCAAGAGCAUGAACCGUAGCCAGGCAGAGAAUCUGUUGAAGACAGAGAACAAAGAUGGUGGUUUCUUAGUACGUGACUCAAGCAAAGCUGGGAAGUACACCGUUUCUGUGUUCACCAAGGGCGGGGAGACUGCGGGUAACUGCAGACACUACAACAUCUGCACCACCCAACAAGGCCAGUUCUACUUGGCAGAGAAGCACAAUUUCAGCAGCAUCCCAGACCUCAUUAACUACCACCAGCACAAUGCAGCAGGUAUGGUCAGUAGGCUGAAAUACAUUGUGUCAAGUCGUGCAAAAAAUGCCCCUUCCACAGCAGGGCUUGGUUAUGGGGUAUGGGAGAUUGACCCACGCCACCUCACCUUCAUCAAGGAGCUGGGCAACGGGCAGUUUGGAGUGGUGAAGUAUGGGAAGUGGCAGGGCCAGCAUGACGUGGCCAUCAAGAUGAUCAAGGAGGGCUCCAUGUCUGAAGACGACUUCAUAGAGGAGGCCAAAGUCAUGAUGAAGCUCCGCCACGAGAACUUGGUUCAGCUGUACGGCGUGUGCACCAAACAAAGGCCCAUCUACAUUGUCACAGAGUUCCUCUCCAACGGCUGCCUACUCAGCUAUCUGCGGGAAGGGCUGAAGCAGCAUCCAUCCCCCAUCCAGCUCCUGGAAAUGUGUAAAGACGUCACAGAGGGCAUGGCCUACCUGGAGGCUCAGCAGUACAUCCACAGAGACCUGGCUGCAAGAAACUGCUUGGUAGAUACCAAUGGGACCAUUAAAGUCACUGACUUUGGACUGUCGAGGUAUGUCCUGGAUGAUGAGUACACCAGCUCUGCAGGCUCCAAGUUCCCAGUGCGCUGGUCUCCUCCUGAAGUCCUGCUCUACUGUAAAUUCAGCAGCAAGUCAGACAUCUGGGCUUAUGGGGUCUUAAUGUGGGAGGUCUACACCUUAGGGAGGCUUCCCUACGAACGGUUAAACAACAAUGAGAUAGUGGAACAGGUGUCCCGAGGCCAUCGCCUCUAUCGCCCCCAGUUGGCCAACGACAGAGUCUACACCAUCAUGACCAGCUGUUGGCUGGAUAAGGCGGACGAGAGACCCACCUUUCAGGAGCUGUCGGUGACUGUUCAGGACUUGCUCUAUGAGCUCCAGUAGAUCCAACCACCACAUUCUGAGAUUGAAACACAGUUUGCAGACUCAUCCCUCUGACACUUCCUCAUGCAGAGCAGACUCAAGGCUUCAUCCCCUCAGGGCCUCAUUCAUUCUGUGCAUCAGCCAUUGAGGAACCUGCUUUAGGAGAAGUAGAUAAAACUGUUAAAGAAGGAUCGGCCAUCCUAUGGGAGCGCUGAGAGAUGCUAUAUGGUUGAACAUGGGACACCCAUGAUGAACUCCAGUAGUGAAAUAAAAUAUUAUUUGAUGAAUGUAUCUGUUGGUUAUUGAGAACAUGCUAGAUAUGAAAAGUUUUUCCUUAUUUAUUUUGUAUGUUUUCUUUUAUUACUAUCAUUGGUGAACUGCAUUCAAUAAUACAUGCAUACAUACAUACAUACGAGAGAGGCCUAUCUGUUUCUGUAAGAUUUCUUGUUUCUUUUCUAUGUCUAGCCACUGAAAUGUAUAGUAAGAAGAAACACCCUUUAACAACUGAAAAUGUAGCUAUGUUCUUUCAUUAAAUUAUUGAGAAAGAGCAGCAGCCUACCUUGCAGCGUCUGAGCCUCCGUAUCUUAGAGAAACAUAUUGCAUAUAAUGACCAUAUGGAUAAAGUCGAUAAAGCUUGAUAACAAAAUAUUUUGGUGAUUGUAGAAUGUCCCCAGAUCCAAUGGAUUUUACUGUUCUUAGUGGCGCACUUUCUGAUUGGUCCAGCACUCUUCCGUUUCCUGUGAUGCGCAAGCCGAUUCACACACGUGAAGGUCAGGAACUGCAGUCAAUCGUUUACAAUUAUCAAAUAAUUGUACAUUUCUGUCUAAUUUAUAAGCGAUUUGCCCAUGAACAUGGAAAACCAAGGAGCCACAGCAGACCCUCAGCUUCAGCAAUUCAUCGAAAUCGAGUCCCAAAAACAAAGGUUUCAGCAGUUGGUCCAUCAGAUGACUGAAGUGUGUUGGGAGAAAUGCAUGGACAAACCUGGGCCCAAGCUGGACUCCCGGACAGAGAUCUGCUUUGUGAACUGUGUAGAGCGCUUCAUUGACACAAGCCAAUUCAUCCUGAACAGACUCGAACAAACACAGAGGAGUAAGGGCUCCUUCUCAGAAUCCAUGUCUGAAUAGUCUAGCAACAUCCUCCACUGGAUAGACUGACAAGGCGCUGAACAGCCAAUCAAGUUGUUUUACAGCAAUGCCAGCUUUCUAUAUGGUGCAAUGAGAACACUGUCCAAUAACCAGGUGGGGAAGAAACAAGUCGUUUUGAUAAGUGCCUCGGUUUUGCACCUUGUAUCAUGUCACCUAGCCAAGUUCCUCUCUCACCUAGUGGGACAUGAGAUUAAGUGCAGUAGUAACAAUUCUGGUUGGUAGCUAGCUAAUAUCUUCAUAUUGUUGGUGAUUCUGAAACUGUGUAGUAAAUGGAAUGAGCCUGUUGCAUGUCAAUCAUAUCAUGAAAACUGAGAUGGGAGAACUCCAUUAGUAUGCUUUUAAAACAAGCUUACCCAGCUGUAGAGGUUGUCCUGGGGCAGAAACAAAGAGCCAAAAAUCUGGGACAUUCAAUUAGACAACGUGUCGGAAAGCCACAAAAACUCACUGCAUUCAGUACCAAGUCAGAGUACGAACAAUGUCUUGUUGGGAAAAGGGCACGAUCUAUGGCCGAAACAAGUGUUCCAUUGUAUAUAUAUGCAAUAAACAAAAAUCUUAUUG